CAGGACCUUGUGGCCGCCGCCCUCUCCACUGGGUCACCCACAGGGCUGCGACCCCAACGCGCAGGCCGGCCCUGACGCACCCAGCAGCACCGCUGCUACCAGCACUUCCCUCCGCACCCAGCGGUCCCGUGAGGGCGGCUGUCAGGAGCAGCGGGGAUCCUGGGCGCCCGCCAGCCAGCCGGAGCAUUACCUCGGUCCCCGGUCACCUUCGCCGCGUAGUUUCCCUUCCGGGCCUCCAGCACACUCCUUACGGUCUGAAAGCGCACAGUUCCGCCAGCGCACCGCAUGACGCAACAUCGAGAGGAGUUCUGUGCCACAUGAUCAGAGAUGCACAAGUGUGGGAACUGCAUGGAUUCUUCUUCUCCAGAAGAUAGUACCUCCAGAAGAAACAUGGCCUGGCUGAAAUCAUUUCAGACUCCAGAACUGGGUGAGAAAUCAAGGCCUACCCAGUGCGAGGAAUAACCUCACAUGAAAAAAAGAAAACUGGCUAGCGACCUAGCUUAAAGGAUCCUCACAUACUGUGGCGACGACUCUGUGCACCGACCAAGGAAGGAGAAGCCAUGGGAACUGGUAAAGUAUUUCCUUGGUCUGGACCAAGGUAAGAAAGCCGCGGGGUGGGUGGAGGCAUGGAGCAGGGUGAAGUACUCCUUGGUUGGGGUGGCUUAGAGGUUAAAAAGAUGCAAGACAUCCCCAUUGUGGGGAAUUGAACCUCGCACGAACCUCCAGUAGUAGAAAAGGCAAGAAAUUUCCAGUGGGGAAAUUAAGCCUCACCCCAAAAGGCAAAAAAUUUCCAGUGGGAGAAAUUGAGCCUCACCCCAAAAGGCAAGAGA